rnacentral:rRNA from 1 species
ACGCUCGACACCUACGGGAGGCGGCAGUGGGGAAUAUUGCACAAUGGGGGAAACCCUGAUGCAGCGACGCCGCGUGAAGGAAGAAGUAUCUCGGUAUGUAAACUUCUAUCAGCAGGGAAGAAAAUGACGGUACCUGACUAAGAAGCCCCGGCUAACUACGUGCCAACAGCCGCGGUAAUCUGAGCGGGCUGGCAAGGC